rnacentral:rRNA from 1 species
UACCCUCGGGAAACUGAGGCUAAUAGUAGAUACCACAGUCCACCUGGAAUGAGGACUGUGCCAAACGCUCCGGCGCCGAAGGAUGUGGCUGCGGCCGAUUAGGUAGACGGUGGGGUAACGGCCCACCGUGCCAAUAAUCGGUACGGGUCAUGAGAGUGAGAACCCGGAGACGGAAUCUGAGACAAGAUUCCGGGCCCUACGGGGCGCAGCAGGCGCGAAACCUUUACACUGCACGACAGUGCGAUAAGGGAAUCCCAAGUGCGCAGGCAUAGAGCCUGCGCUUUUGUCCACCGUAGGGAGGUGGACGAAUAAGGGCUGGGCAAGACCGGUGCCAGCCGCCGCGGUAAUACCGGCAGCCCGAGUGAUGGCCGAUCUUAUUGGGCCUAAAGCGUCCGUAGCUGGCCGCACAAGUCCAUCGGAAAAUCCACCCGCUCAACGGGUGGGCGUCCGGUGGAAACUGUGUGGCUUGGGACCGGAAGGCGCGACGGGUACGUCCGGGGUAGGAGUGAAAUCCCGUAAUCCUGGACGGACCGCCGAUGGCGAAAGCACGUCGCGAAGACGGAUCCGACAGUGAGGGACGAAAGCUAGGGUCUCGAACCGGAUUAGAUACCCGGGUAGUCCUAGCCGUAAACAAUGCCUGCUAGGUGUGGCUCCCACUACGAGUGGGUGCUGUGCCGUAGGGAAGCCGCUAAGCAGGCCGCCUGGGAAGUACGUCCGCAAGGAUGAAACUUAAAGGAAUUGGCGGGGGAGCACUACAACCGGAGGAGCCUGCGGUUUAAUUGGACUCAACGCCGGACAUCUCACCAGCAUCGACUGUAGUAAUGACGAUCAGGUUGAUGACCUUAUCCGAGCUUCAGAGAGGAGGUGCAUGGCCGCCGUCAGCUCGUACCGUGAGGCGUCCUGUUAAGUCAGGCAACGAGCGAGACCCGCAUCCUUACUUGCCAGCAGCACUGCGAAGUGGCUGGGGACAGUAGGGAGACCGCCGUGGCCAACACGGAGGAAGGAACGGGCAACGGUAGGUCAGUAUGCCCCGAAUGUGCUGGGCAACACGCGGGCUACAAUGGUCGAGACAAAGGGUUCCUACUCCGAAAGGAGACGGUAAUCUCAGAAACUCGAUCGUAGUUCGGAUUGUGGGCUGCAACUCGCCCACAUGAAGCUGGAUUCGGUAGUAAUCGCGUGUCAUAAGCGCGCGGUGAAUACGUCCCUGCUCCUUGCACACACCGCCCGUC